rnacentral:rRNA from 1 species
UACGUAGGGCGCAAGCGUUGUCCGGAAUUAUUGGGCGUAAAGAGCUCGUAGGCGGCCUGUUGCGUCCGCUGUGAAAUCCCGGGGCUCAACCCCGGGCGUGCAGUGGAUACGGGCUGGCUGGAGGCAGGCAGGGGAGAACGGAAUUCCUGGCGUAGCGGUGAAAUGCGCAGAUAUCAGGAGGAACACCGGUGGCGAAGGCGGUUCUCUGGGCCUGUACUGACGCUGAGGAGCGAAAGCGUGGGGAGCGAACAGG